ACAUGCAACUGGACAAAAGCGAUGGCAUCGUGCUUCAAUUUAGAUGCGGUUGUAAGAAACUGACCAAGAAAACAAAUGAUACUUCAAAAGCAAAAAGGCAAAUUGAAGGUCCUACGGUGCUUCAACUUACAUGCGAUUGCAAAGCAAAUGAUGCUUCAAAAGCAAAAAAGCAAAUUGAAGGUGAAUAUCAGUCCGGGAAUUAAAUUAGCCACCGGGUAUUCACUUCAAAAAAUGAAGGGAUGCUUGCUGUGGUGGCAGCUCCUUCGUGGCCAAACUUUGUUUGAAAGACUACAGAAUAGAACCGGGGAAUUUCUCAAGCUUGGAGCUUUGUGCUACACCAGUUCUAAUAGCAGCAAAGAGAGGUGUGAUAGAGAUGGUGAAGGACAUUCUAAAGACCAAUCCAUCGGCAAUUG